rnacentral:rRNA from 1 species
CGCGUAUAGAAUCUGCCUUGUACAGGAGGAUAGCCUUUAGAAAUGAAGAUUAAUACUCCAUAAUAUUGGGAAGUGGCAUCACUAUCUAAUUAAAGAUUUAUCGGUACAAGAUGACUAUGCGUCCUAUUAGCUAGAUGGUAAGGUAACGGCUUACCAUGGCAACGAUAGGUAGGGGGUCUGAGAGGAUUAUCCCCCACACUGGUACUGGAGACGACGGACAGACUCCGUACGGGAGCAGCAGUGAGGAAUAUUGGUCAAUGGAGGCAACUCUCGAACCAGCCAUCGCCGCGUGCAAGGAAG